rnacentral:tRNA from 6 species
GGGCGAGUGCCCGAGUGGACAAAGGGAUCUGACUGUAAAUCAGACGGCGAUCGCCUUCGGUGGUUCGAAUCCGCCCUCGCCCA